GAAUGGUUUAAUUGACUCAAAUUUCUAAUACAUCAUGAUUCAAAUCGGUAUUAUGUAUUUUUUUAAUAUAUAUAAAUUUCAAAUAACUUGUUAUGGGGUUAGUUGUAAGGGCUUUUAGUUCUAAUGUCGUGUAAAUUCUAAAACAUCAUCUAUUCAUCUUAUGAACUCCCACGCUGGAUCUGUGCAUUCAACUUUCAUUUUGAAAGUUGGCAUCAGGAGUUGAAUCCUGGUAAAAAAGGUGGGAAAAAGAUGGAAAUUAAACUUACAUUUGUAUAAUAAGCUUUCAAAAACGCCCAUGGUGUGUCCACUCU
rnacentral:misc_RNA from 1 species